rnacentral:tRNA from 1 species
GAGACACUAGUAAAAUAGCUAAUUACACUGCCUUGUCAAGGCAGAAUCGCGGGUUGGACUCCCGUGUGUCUUA